AGAGUUUGAUCCUGGCUCAGGAUAAACGCUGGCGGCGUGCCUAAUACAUGCAAGUCGAACGAGGAGUCUUUGUAGCAAUACGGAGAUUUCCUAGUGGCGAAUGGGUGAGUAACGCGUUGGUGACCUACCCCGAAGAGAGGAAUAACUCCGGGAAACUGGAGCUAAUACCCCAUGUGGUUACCAGGGUUAGAGUCCUGGCAACUGAAGGAGCAAUCCACUUUGGGAGGGACCUGCGUCCCAUCAGCUUGUUGGUAGGGUAACGGCCUACCAAGGCUACGACGGGUAGGGGGCCUGAGAGGGUGGCCCCCCACACUGGCACUGAAACACGGGCCAGACACCUACGGGUGGCAGCAGUAGGGAAUAUUGCACAAUGGGCGAAAGCCUGAUGCAGCAACGCCGCGUGCGCGAUGAAGACCUUCGGGUUGUAAAGCGCUUUUCUGAAGGACGAGGAAGGACGGUACUUCAGGAAUAAGGAUCGGCUAACUACGUGCCAGCAGCCGCGGUAAUACGUAGGAUCCGAGCGUUAUCCGAAUUUACUGGGCGUAAAGCGCGUGCAGGCGGUUUGGUAAGUUGGAUGUGAAAGCUCCCGGCUCAACUGGGAGAGGCCGUUCAAAACUACCAGACUAGAGGACGGUAGAGGGAGGUAGAAUUCCCGGUGUAGUAGUGAAAUGCGUAGAUAUCGGGAGGAAUACCAGUGGCGAAGGCGGCCUCCUGGACCGUUCCUGACGCUCAGACGCGAAAGCUAGGGGAGCGAACGGGAUUAGAAACCCCGGUAGUCCUAGCUGUAAACGAUGCAAACUUGGUGUUGGUGGGGUAAAAUCCGCCGGUGCCGAAGCUAACGCGAUAAGUUUGCCGCCUGGGGACUACGACCGCAAGGUUAAAACUUAAAGGAAUUGACGG
rnacentral:rRNA from 1 species